GACGAACGCUGGCGGCGUGCUUAACACAUGCAAGUCGAACGGUAAGGCCCCAGCUUGCUGGGGUACACGAGUGGCGAACGGGUGAGUAACCUGUGGGUGACCUGCCCCGCACUUCGGGAUAAGCCUGGGAAACUGGGUCUAAUACCGGAUACGACCGCGCCGUGGGGGUGUGGUGGAAAGUUUCUCGGUGUGGGAUGGGCCCGCGGCCUAUGAGCUUGUUGGUGGGGUAAUGGCCUACCAAGGCGGCGACGGGUAGCCGGCCUGAGAGGGUGGACGGUCACAUGGGGACUGCGACACGGCCCAGACUCCUACGGGAGGCAGCAGUGGGGAAUAUUGCACAGUGGGCGGAAGCCUGAUGCAGCGACGCCGCGUGGGGGAUGACGGCCUUCGGGUUGUAAACGCCUUUCACCAUCGACGAAGGUUUUCUGACGGUAGAUGGAGAAGAAGCACCGGCUAACUACGUG
rnacentral:rRNA from 1 species